CAGUAGCCGCGGUAAUACGGAGGAUCCAAGCGUUAUCCGGAAUCAUUGGGUUUAAAGGGUCCGUAGGCGGUCUUGUAAGUCAGUGGUGAAAGCCCAUCGCUCAACGGUGGAACGGCCAUUGAUACUGCAGGACUUGAAUUAUUGGGAAGUAACUAGAAUAUGUAGUGUAGCGGUGAAAUGCUUAGAGAUUACAUGGAAUACCAAUUGCGAAGGCAGGUUACUACCAAUUGAUUGACGCUGAUGGACGAAAGCGUGGGUAGCGAACAGGAUUAGAUACCCGGGUAGUCCCUGUCUCUUAUAC
rnacentral:rRNA from 1 species